GAUGAACGCUGGCGGCGUGCUUAACACAUGCAAGUCGAACGAUGAAGCCCAGCUUGCUGGGUGGAUUAGUGGCGAACGGGUGAGUAACACGUGAGUAACCUGCCCUUAACUCUGGGAUAAGCCUGGGAAACUGGGUCUAAUACCGGAUAGGAGCGCCUACCGCAUGGUGGGUGUUGGAAAGAUUUAUCGGUUUUGGAUGGACUCGCGGCCUAUCAGCUUGUUGGUGAGGUAAUGGCUCACCAAGGCGACGACGGGUAGCCGGCCUGAGAGGGUGACCGGCCACUCUGGGACUGAGACACGGCCCAGACUCCUACGGGAGGCAGCAGUGGGGAAUAUUGCACAAUGGGCGAAAGCCGGAUGCAGCGACGCCGCGUGGGGGAUGACGGCCUUCGGGUUGUAACCCUCUUUCAGUAGGGAAGAAGCGAAAGUGACGGUACCUGCAGAAGAAGCACCGGCUAACUACGUG
rnacentral:rRNA from 1 species